GAUGAGAAGAUUGGGGGACUCGUUUACCUUUUUGUGCACGAUUCCAGACGUGUCGUCAUGUCCAGGUGGUCAGCUACCGUCACUGUGUCUUCAGUCAGACCUCCUUUAAGAUAACCUUCUGCUGUCUUUGAUGAUCAUCACCAUGAUGAGGUGGACUACUAUACAAGCCCAGUCACUUUAUACUGCUG